UUUUUUCGAGCUAAAUUAAUGGCUGCUGUUUGAUAACAGCUGGACGGCUAUGUGAACGAUUAAGACGUUCUCUGGUUUUAUAUAAUAUGUGGAUUAUUGCUUUAAUUUACUCCAGUCUUAUAUUUAGUUAUUGACCUCAGAACACGGAAUGCAGCUAGCGGCUUAAUGCUAGGUAACAGCAGAACUCAGCAGGAUUGGAGCUUGUUAGCUUGGAUGCUAACUAUUUCCGAGCUGAAUUAAUCACUGGUGUUUGAUAUCAGUAGGGCGUCACUGUGCUGGUUAGAUAUGAGAUCAACUAUAUCUACAAUUACAGCAAACAAAGACCAAAGUAUGUGCAUUAGAUACCUACAAGGGCUGGACAGGACAGUGGACAAGCUGGAGGUUCAGCUAAGCUGAUUCAACUUCCUGUAAUUGGUCCCGUUUAGAAAAGCUUUCACAGAACUGGACUGUGGUUUCCGGCUCCUUUCACACCUGCUUAUUUGCUUUGGACCCAACAAGGACCGACUUGGAAAACUCUGUGGGUGUAGGAGAGUCUGCUGCUGGCUUGUCGGCUCCUGCCUCGCCUCCUGAGCCGGAGGUUGGGAUCACUUGGCCUGCCGCGAGGGAACAACAGUCAUACCUGGAACAGCAGUGAAGAACUUGACUGCAUCUCGAUGACCAUGGAAACAGAGCUGAGCGUGGGCCAUGGAGCAAAAAGGUACAAAUGUGCCCGGCGUCACUUUAUCACUGUUCUCAUCACCGUAGACACGAACCACGUUGCCUGGCCGGUUGGACGCUCCUUGGGUGGCUUUCUUCGCUUUUUCAGGAAAAUGCACAUCUCAAGACCUUACCAUAAAGACGCAGAUGCAAUGCCAUCAGCUGUCGCAUCACCAGACCUAUACCUGAUUGUAAAUGUAUGGGCUUUAACUAGCUGGACAUGCCAUCAGUACUCUACCCCUACUGCAAAAUCUGCAGAUACUGUGUUUUAAACAUAAAGCAUGAGCUGGAUUGAUGGAUUAUCACAGGACACCAUUAGAAAUCUCUACAUCUCCAAGCCAAGACAUCUGGCAUGUGUACUCAGAAAACAGAACAGAAGUGCCUGUAGUGACAUUUCUGGUAAUCUGCCAGUGUACAAGAUUGCACUCCACAGACCUUUUAACGCAUGAUGUGUGAAAAGGAAAAAAAAAAAAAAAACUGACAAAAGCAGGACUCGUCACUAAAGAGGUCCCAGUGCCAUUCUGAGCCACUUCAUGACAGUCUGGCACAACAACCAGAGUUUCAUUUCUGGCAGUUGAUUUCUUCUGGAUGCACUAUUAAUCUAAAAGGUCUACUAAAAGCAAGCAAACUAACUAAUCUACAGGCAUGUAAAUGUUCUAGUAAACUUGUAUAGCUGGUAAAUAGUGAGAAGAAGAUGCGCUACAAAGUACAUACUGUCAGUUAGAGGUAUGGAGAUGAUGACACCGUUCCCUGUUCCAAUCCAUAGGCGAUUACACGACACCGUCAAUGCUGUGAUCCUUACAAAGGAGAAGCCCAGCUUACCAGUGCCUGAACCAGAAAAAAAAAAUACUUAGCCUAAUAAGACAGAAGACAAAUGAAUAGAGCACAGCAAAAGCAAAAUAAAAGGAAAAAAAAAAAAUCACCGAGCAUCUUGCUGACAUAGGGCUCUAUGUCCACAUCCUGCAGAUGUUGGUAGGUGUGAGCAUGAAACAAUCGGAGUGUGGAAUCCAGACGGAUAGACACCCAGAUGCCAUCACCAUCCCAUGCUAGUUGCCUCACUUGACUCUCUUUGCGAGGGUGGGCAUCAAAGGAUUUCUGUAUAUUGAGAAGAGAGCAGAAAAGAUAAGAGUUGGUAAUUUUCUGUGAAACUUUGACAGGUAACUGGUUUGAUAACAGCACAAUUUAUAAUACCUCUAUCUUCAUAGCUUUAGGCUGGAUGACGUAGAUCUUGUUUCUGUAGCCACACCACACUUUAUCGUGCACCACGGUCAUGCAGCGGAUUGAGUGAUGAGGCCGGCCCAGAUCUAACAAGUGGUAGUUGGUCAAAUCCCACUGACCAUCU